UACGGAGGAUUCGAGCGUUAUCCGGAUUUACUGGGUUUAAAGGGUGCGUAGGUGGAAUGUCAAGUCAGUGGUGAAAACCUGCAGCUUAACUGUAGAACUGCCAUUGAUACUGUCAUUCUUGAGUGUAUUUGAUGUAAGUGGAAUGUGUCGUGUAGCGGUGAAAUGCUUAGAUAUGACACAGAACACCCAUUGCGAAGGCAGCUUACAAAACUACUACUGACACUGAGGCACGAAAGCGUGGGGAUCAAACAGG
rnacentral:rRNA from 1 species